rnacentral:rRNA from 1 species
GACGAACGCUGGCGGCGUGCUUAACACAUGCAAGUCGAACGAUGAAAGAGGAGCUUGCUCCUCUGGAUUAGUGGCGAACGGGUGAGUAACACGUGAGCAAUCUGCUCCUGACUCCGGAAUAACUACGGGAAACUGUAGCUAAUACCGGAUAUGCGCCGAACAGGCAUCUGUAUCGGUGGGAAAGAAUUUCGGUCAGGGAUGAGCUCGCGGCCUAUCAGCUUGUUGGUGAGGUAACGGCUCACCAAGGCGACGACGGGUAGCCGGCCUGAGAGGGUGACCGGCCACAUUGGGACUGAGACACGGCCCAGACUCCUACGGGAGGCAGCAGUGGGGAAUAUUGCACAAUGGGCGCAAGCCUGAUGCAGCAACGCCGCGUGAGGGAUGACGGCCUUCGGGUUGUAAACCUCUUUUAGCAGGGAAGAAGCGAAAGUGACGGUACCUGCAGAAAAAGCGCCGGCUAACUACGUG